rnacentral:misc_RNA from 1 species
GUGAAUUGAAUAUGUUAGCGGUCUCGCUUCGGAAGGCCCUAGCAUCAAAUCAUAUCCAUAACACCUGUGAACUGUAAGACUGUCUUGACUGAAGGUGGCAUUAGUAUCGCUCUGCCCAUUUUAUACAAACAAUUAAGUAACAAACGUAGUCUUAUUAUAAUCUAAUA